rfam:Schistosoma rodhaini strain Burundi genome assembly, scaffold: SROB_scaffold0008624
GCACUGCUGAGGAGUCCCAUAAUAGGACGAAACGGCCGUCCAGUGC